GCUCCCGUGGCGCAAUGGUAGCGCAUCAGACUUCUACCUGCUAUGGCAUCGCAAAGAAAUUUCCAUCCGUGGAUUUAUUGCGCGGAAUCUGGGGGUUGCGGGUUCGAGCCCCGCCGGGAGUU